GGGUUGUGAGGUUAAGCGACUAAGCGUACACGGUGGAUGCCCUGGCAGUCAGAGGCGAUGAAGGACGUGCUAAUCUGCGAAAAGCGUCGGUAAGGUGAUAUGAACCGUUACAGCCGGCGAUGUCCGAAUGGGGAAACCCAGUGUGAUUCGUCACACUAUCGUUAACUGAAUACAUAGGUUAACGAGGCGAACCGGGGGAACUGAAACAUCUAAGUACCCCGAGGAAAAGAAAUCAACCGAGAUUCCCCCAGUAGCGGCGAGCGAACGGGGAGCAGCCCAGAGCCUGAAUCAGCUUGUGUGUUAGUGGAACGGUCUGGAAAGUCCGGCGAUACAGGGUGACAGCCCCGUACACCAAAAUGCACAGGCUGUGAGCUCGAAGAGUAGGGCGGGACACGUGGUAUCCUGUCUGAAUAUGGGGGGACCAUCCUCCAAGGCUAAAUACUCCUGACUGACCGAUAGUGAACCAGUACCGUGAGGGAAAGGCGAAAAGAACCCCGGCGAGGGGAGUGAAAAAGAACCUGAAACCGUGUACGUACAAGCAGUGGGAGCACCUUCGGGGUGACUGCGUACCUUUUGUAUAAUGGGUCAGCGACUUAUAUUCUGUAGCAAGGUUAACCGUAUAGGGGAGCCGCAGGGAAACCGAGUCUUAACUGGGCGUUAAGUUGCAGGGUAUAGACCCGAAACCCGGUGAUCUAGCCAUGGGCAGGUUGAAGGUUGGGUAACACUAACUGGAGGACCGAACCGACUAAUGUUGAAAAAUUAGCGGAUGACUUGUGGCUGGGGGUGAAAGGCCAAUCAAACCGGGAGAUAGCUGGUUCUCCCCGAAAGCUAUUUAGGUAGCGCCUCGUGAAUUCAUCUCCGGGGGUAGAGCACUGUUUCGGCUAGGGGGCCAUCCCGGCUUACCAACCCGAUGCAAACUACGAAUACCGGAGAAUGUUAUCACGGGAGACACACGGCGGGUGCUAACGUCCGUCGUGAAGAGGGAAACAACCCAGACCGCCAGCUAAGGUCCCAAAGUCAUGGUUAAGUGGGAAACGAUGUGGGAAGGCACAGACAGCCAGGAUGUUGGCUUAGAAGCAGCCAUCAUUUAAAGAAAGCGUAAUAGCUCACUGGUCGAGUCGGCCUGCGCGGAAGAUGUAACGGGGCUAAACCAUGCACCGAAGCUGCGGCAGCGACACUAAGUGUUGUUGGGUAGGGGAGCGUUCUGUAAGCCUGCGAAGGUGUGCUGUGAGGCAUGCUGGAGGUAUCAGAAGUGCGAAUGCUGACAUAAGUAACGAUAAAGCGGGUGAAAAGCCCGCUCGCCGGAAGACCAAGGGUUCCUGUCCAACGUUAAUCGGGGCAGGGUGAGUCGACCCCUAAGGCGAGGCCGAAAGGCGUAGUCGAUGGGAAACAGGUUAAUAUUCCUGUACUUGGUGUUACUGCGAAGGGGGGACGGAGAAGGCUAUGUUAGCCGGGCGACGGUUGUCCCGGUUUAAGCAUGUAGGCUGGUUAUCCAGGCAAAUCCGGAUAAUCAAGGCUGAGGUGUGAUGACGAGUCACUACGGUGAUGAAGUAACAAAUGCCCUGCUUCCAGGAAAAGCCUCUAAGCAUCAGGUAACACGAAAUCGUACCCCAAACCGACACAGGUGGUCAGGUAGAGAAUACCAAGGCGCUUGAGAGAACUCGGGUGAAGGAACUAGGCAAAAUGGUGCCGUAACUUCGGGAGAAGGCACGCUGAUAUGUAGGUGAAGCCCCUGCGGGCGGAGCUGAAAUCAGUCGAAGAUACCAGCUGGCUGCAACUGUUUAUUAAAAACACAGCACUGUGCAAACACGAAAGUGGACGUAUACGGUGUGACGCCUGCCCGGUGCCGGAAGGUUAAUUGAUGGGGUUAUCCGUAAGGAGAAGCUCUUGAUCGAAGCCCCGGUAAACGGCGGCCGUAACUAUAACGGUCCUAAGGUAGCGAAAUUCCUUGUCGGGUAAGUUCCGACCUGCACGAAUGGCGUAAUGAUGGCCAGGCUGUCUCCACCCGAGACUCAGUGAAAUUGAACUCGCUGUGAAGAUGCAGUGUACCCGCGGCAAGACGGAAAGACCCCGUGAACCUUUACUAUAGCUUGACACUGAACAUUGAGCCUUGAUGUGUAGGAUAGGUGGGAGGCUUUGAAGCGUGGACGCCAGUCUGCGUGGAGCCAACCUUGAAAUACCACCCUUUAAUGUUUGAUGUUCUAACGUGGACCCGUAAUCCGGGUUGCGGACAGUGUCUGGUGGGUAGUUUGACUGGGGCGGUCUCCUCCCAAAGAGUAACGGAGGAGCACGAAGGUUGGCUAAUCCUGGUCGGACAUCAGGAGGUUAGUGCAAUGGCAUAAGCCAGCUUGACUGCGAGCGUGACGGCGCGAGCAGGUGCGAAAGCAGGUCAUAGUGAUCCGGUGGUUCUGAAUGGAAGGGCCAUCGCUCAACGGAUAAAAGGUACUCCGGGGAUAACAGGCUGAUACCGCCCAAGAGUUCAUAUCGACGGCGGUGUUUGGCACCUCGAUGUCGGCUCAUCACAUCCUGGGGCUGAAGUAGGUCCCAAGGGUAUGGCUGUUCGCCAUUUAAAGUGGUACGCGAGCUGGGUUUAGAACGUCGUGAGACAGUUCGGUCCCUAUCUGCCGUGGGCGCUGGAGAAUUGAGGGGGGCUGCUCCUAGUACGAGAGGACCGGAGUGGACGCAUCACUGGUGUUCGGGUUGUCAUGCCAAUGGCACUGCCCGGUAGCUACAUGCGGAAGAGAUAAGUGCUGAAAGCAUCUAAGCACGAAACUUGCCCCGAGAUGAGUUCUCCCCUGGACUUUAAGUCCACUAAAGGAACGUUGAAGACGACGACGUUGAUAGGCCGGGUGUGUAAGCGCAGCGAUGCGUUGAGCUAACCGGUACUAAUGAACCGUGAGGCUUAACCUUACAACGCCGAAG
rnacentral:rRNA from 1 species